GGGGAAUAUUGCGCAAUGGGGGAAACCCUGACGCAGCAACGCCGCGUGCGGGAUGAAGGCCUUCGGGUUGUAAACCGCUUUCAGCAGGGACGAAGGGUUUCUGACGGUACCUGCAGAAGAAGCACCGGCUAACUACGUGCCAGCAGCCGCGGUGAUACGUAGGGUGCGAGCGUUGUCCGGAAUUAUUGGGCGUAAAGAGCUUGUAGGCGGUCCGUCACGUCGGAAGUGAAAACUCAGGGCUUAACCCUGAGCCUGCUUUCGAUACGGGCAGACUUGAGGGAUGUAGGGGAGAACGGAAUUCCUGGUGGAGCGGUGGAAUGCGCAGAUAUCAGGAGGAACACCAGUGGCGAAGGCGGGUCUCUGAGCCGUAACUGACGCUGAGGAGCGAAAGCGUGGGGAGCGAACA
rnacentral:rRNA from 1 species